rnacentral:lncRNA from 1 species
CCGCACCGAGAGGAGCGGGCAGCGUGAACUUUACCCGCGCCUGCAAAAUUGGCCAGAGCCCGAGACCGCGGCCGCUUUGGCCCAAGCCUGACACCCCCCCACACACACCUGGCAGCGGGCCUGGUUUCUUGGCUGCUACUUAGCACCUCUACAGCACUUUUCUUCAAAGCCUUUUGCAGACUUUCUCUAAAGACCCUGCUUUUCACCCCCUUUGGCAAGCCCGAAGGAAGGACUGAUCUUUGUUCAGACUAUCAGUUUUCCUCUGCUCUGUCCACGUUAGCUGGUCCUGACAAGGCCCUGAGGGCAAGAGGUCCAGAUUAUCCCAGUUUUACAGAAUUGAAAGACAAAGGGAGGGGACUGCCCAGGUCUCCUAAAAGUCAGAGGUCAGAGGAAAGUGGCUAUAAGAAGAAGUGAAGUCUCCAAAACUGCCUCCUGUAUACUUAGCCUUUAAAAAGAAAAAAGGAAAGUAUUCAAGUUGUGAGCAAAUCCAACAGUGAGCAGAGUGGCAGAAAGGGUUCGAAAUCGAACUGGUCAUCUCACCACUGACUUCAAAUGGUAGCCUCUGAAGCUGCUUUGGGGACAGAGUCAAGCAGUCCAAACUCCAUUAUCACUUCCUAAGAGAACUUAUAGCUCGAAAUGACCAGUGCACCAUUUCCAAAGACAGUACCUGAAAGUAUAAACAGCCCAGAAAAGAGGCUCCGUGGACUGCUGGAACGUGAGUGUUUCAAAAAACCACUUCAGAAGAGGGAAUACAGACCUUUUAAAGAAAAGGAGAAUUUUAUCAUCUAGCCAGUCCGCAAGGCAUUCGGCAAACGCGGACUGGAUCUCCGGCCGCGCGGAUCAGGUGGAGUUUCGGGGCCCAGGAACUCCAGUGGCUGCGGCCGCCAAGGAAGGGGGCAGGGCUGCCGGGACCCACCGGCUGAAAAUGGCAGAGGAUGUGCUCUUCAUUUUAUCAGGCUACACAGCGUGCUAUGGAUUGGGCCCAAGCCUAAAGGGAUGACCUAUGAAAAUCCCACACAGUCAACUGCAAAAUGUGGAAACAGGGCCUGGAGGCUUUGCUAGGAG